UUUUGUUAUUUACAUUGUCUAAAGAGUUUUAGAAUUGUUGUUUUUGAAGAAAAUCAUGAUGAAGAGAGGUAUCAUUGUCCUAAUGCUGGUGGCUUUGUUCGCUCUUUUUAACCAGAGCUAUGGAGACAAUUUGUGUACUUAUUUUGGGUCGGAAUUGUCACCAUGUGUUCAUAGUUCUUCAUACUGUCUUACAGAAUUUAAAAGUAAACAUGGGUUCUAUCCUCAAGAUUGCACUUGUAUAAUUUCAUACUACUAUAGGAUACCCAGAUGCUCAUGUACUGCUCCUUGUCCACCCCCGGCGAAAGAAAAGAAGAUUUUGUCUCUUUAAUUUUAUGAUGCACAAAUAAUCAGAUUGGUAUUUAAGAAUAAAAAUGUUGAGAACUUUAUGAAGCACCAUGUUUAGUUUACUUUAAUAUAUGAGUUAUUAUA